UUGCAAACUCGAUCACUGGCUCUGCACGACAUUGCAGAAGCAAGGGGAACCAGGUUUGCUAAAGUAAUUGUGGUGAUAGAAGCUUAUUUGCCUCGGAAUUGACGUUUUUGAGGCACCUCAUUCUAUCCUAAGACAAGA
ensembl:snoRNA SNORA66 Small nucleolar RNA SNORA66